rnacentral:rRNA from 1 species
GACGUAGGGCGCGAGCGUUGUCCGGAUUUAUUGGGCGUAAAGAGCUCGUAGGCGGUUUGUCGCGUCUGCUGUGAAAACCUAAGGCUCAACCUUGGGCUUGCAGUGGGGUACGGGCAGACUAGAGUGCGGUAGGGGGUGACUGGAAUUCCUGGUGUAGCGGUGGAAUGCGCAGAUAUCAGGAGGAACACCGAUGGCGAAGGGCAGGUCACUGGGGCCGCAACUGACGCUGAGGAGCGAAAAGCAUGGGGAGCGAACAGG